GUGGGAGCAGCUGUCUUCUACACAUAGCUAGAACUUAUCUUGUAGGUGAACAGACUUACAUUUGACUUCAAGACAGGUAGACCCCGAUGAGCUUGAUAGCGGUGUGUUGUUUUUGCCAAGUUAAUUAACUUGGCAUUUUAUAAUAUACUUCUUCGGUUGGGAAAACCGAGGAGAUGUAUGAAACUCUUAGAUUGUUUAUGUGUGGUAUAUAUCAAGAUCUUUAUUGAAAGAAUUUUUAUAAAGAAAAGCUACCGCGGGGAUAACAGCAUUGUCCUUUCGGAGAGAAUACAUUGAUGAAGGGGUUUGUGACCUCGAUUUUGGAUCAUAGGAAUCAGGGCGGUAAAGAGGCUGCCUGUGGGGGACUGUUCGUCCUUUAAACUUUU
rnacentral:rRNA from 1 species